rnacentral:lncRNA from 10 species
UAGCGCGCAGGGAAGGCUGGUCACCCCACCCUAAUCUUGUUAUGCAAAUAGGCUUCCCACUUGGCAGGGGCCGUCUUGUCCACUCGUUUCUGUAAACAUGGGUGGCAAAAAGAGAAGAUGGAGCUGCCAUUUAGAACAUGCCUAAUCCCAGCUUCAUCUUGCUGAGCAAAAAUGAAGGAGCCUGGACCCAACUUUGUUACUGUGAGAAAGGGUCUUCAUUCAUUCAAGAUGGCAUUUGUUAAGCACCUACUGUGAGUAGAUGAUCUCCUGUCAAAGACAGUUAACAAAUCCUCGGAAUAUUGCUUCAUGUACAGUUAUUGGAGAUGAGUAACUUACAUUCUCUUAAUUGUAAUGGUUCCUUGGAAAGUCAUCGUGGAAAAUGAAGGCUGGCUCAUACAUUUUCCCAGACAGGAAUUUGGCUGCCAACAGGGAAUUCUAAACAACUAAAAACUCCAGAUGAUGAAUGCACAACAUAAUGAUGGUUAAAUUAAAAAAAAAAAAGAGCACGACAAACCUUGGAAAUCAAGAAAGUUCUGGAAUGAUGAAGCUGUUCAUGCCAAGACCGAAAGUGCUGGCCCAGUAUGAGUCCAUUCAGUUCAUGCCGUGACAAUUUUCUUGGAACUCCUUUUUAUUGUUAGUUCUCACUUGUUUCCAUAUUUAGUGAAUGUACAUUUAAUUGCAAAGCUGUCAUUAAUAAAAAUUCUUAUAGUACCUCA